UAUAUUGCGUCUUAUGGAAAAACAAAAUGAAAUCACUGCCAUGUUGGUACAACAACGCAAUAUUUCAUUACUUCCUCACAGAGAUAUUGUAUCCUUUGAUGGAGAUCCUUUGCAAUAUCAAUGGUUCAUACGAUCAUUUGAGGAGGUUGUGGAAAAAAGGGCAGACAAUUAUGGUGACUGUUUCUAUUUUCUUGAGCAGUAUACCCGAGGUCAACCAAGAGAACUCGUCAGAAGUUGUCAACAUAUGGUUUCCAAACAGGGUUACUUGAAAGCCAAGGCCUUACUUAAGGAACACUUUGGAAAUGAAGUCAAAAUAUCUUCAGCAUACAUGGACAAAGUGCUCUCUUGGAAGUCCAUAAAACCUGAAGAUGCAAAGGCUUUACAAGAUUAUCAUCUUUUUCUUAGAGCUUGCUGUAAUGCCAUGGAGGGUGUUCGUUAUAUGAAAGAGUUAAACCUGGUUACUAAUAUGCAAAUUAUUCUUUCCAAAUUGCCCUUUAAACUCCGAGACAAAUGGAGAGCAGUAGCGUGUGAUUUGCAGGAAAACCGUAAUGAACAAGCAACAUUUAAAGACAUCGUGGAUUUCGUAGAGAAGCAAGUAAAAAUUGCUACUGAUCCUGUGUUUGGAAACAUUGUUGAGGCUCCUCUGGGAGGUCGAAGCUUGAUUCGUUCUAAGCCUAAGGGAAGUAGUUUUGCCACUACUGUCACUGUAACUGGAAUGGAAGACAUCAGGAAAACUAAUAAAGGUGUAUCCUGUCUUUUUUGUGGCGAAGAACAUUUUUUUAAUUCCUGUACAUGCUUACCAAAAAAACCCAUAAGGAAAAGAUGGAUUUUCUGAAGAAAAAAGGAAUCUGUUUUGGCUGUUUAUGCACAGGCCAUAUUAGUAGAGAUUUUAAGAUGCGAAUUACAUGCACAGUGUGUGGCUUUAAACACCCCAGUGUUCUUCAUGUUUUUCGGCAAGAGAUAACUGAGGAGCCAAAGCAAGCAGUGGGUAGUGCGCGGAUCUCGGUUCAGUCAAGUGGUCUUACUGGGGCCGGUGAAGAUGCNNNNNNNNNNNNNNNNNNNNNNNNNNNNNNNNNNNNNNNN
rnacentral:lncRNA from 1 species